GCCGGGCGCGGUGGCUCAAGCCUGUAAUCCCAGCACUUUGGGAGGCCGAGAUGGGCGGAUCACGAGGUCAGGAGAUCAAGACCAUCCUGGCUAACACGGUGAAACCCUGUCUCUACUAAAAAAAUACAAAAAACGCCGGGCGCGGNNNNNNNNNNCCGCGCCCGGCGUUUUUUGUAUUUUUUUAGUAGAGACAGGGUUUCACCGUGUUAGCCAGGAUGGUCUCGAUCUCCUGACCUCGUGAUCCGCCCAUCUCAG
rfam:Chlorocebus sabaeus isolate 1994-021 chromosome 6, whole genome shotgun sequence.